AUAAUGCUUUGCAUGUCUUUAACAUGCAUUUUUAAUAACAAAGCAUCAAGUUUGUUAUUGCUUUGUUAUUAAAAAUGCAUGUUAAAGACAUGCAAAGCAUUAUG